GUCCACGCCGUAAAACGAUGGAUACUAGCUGUUGGGUGCAAACUCAGUGGCUAAGCGAAAGUGAUAAGUAUCCCACCUGGGGGAGUACGUUCGCAAGAAUGAAACUCAAAGGAAUUGACGGGGGGCCCGCACAAGCGGUGGAGCAUGUGGUUUAAUUCGAUGAUACGCGAGGAACCUUACCAAGGCUUAAAUGUAGAUUGACCGGUUUGGAAACAGACUUUUCGCAAGACAAUUUACAAGGUGCUGCAUGGUUGUCGU
rnacentral:rRNA from 1 species